rnacentral:rRNA from 1 species
CGUAGGCAGCGAGCGUUGUUCGGAGUUACUGGGCGUAAAGCGUGCGUAGGCGGUCUUCUAAGUUUGGUGUGAAAUCUCCCGGCUCAACCGGGAGGGUGCGCCGAAAACUGGGAGGCUGGAGUAUGGGAGAGGUAGGCGGAAUUCCUGGUGUAGCGGUGAAAUGCGUAGAUAUCAGGAGGAACACCAGCGGUGUAGACGGCUUACUGGACCAUAACUGACGCUGAGGCACGAAAGCGUGGGGAGCAAACAGGAUUAGAUACCCUGGUAGUCCACGCCCUAAACGAUGCAUACUUGGUGUGGGUAAUUCAUUUUAUCCGUGCCGGAGCUAACGCGUUAAGUAUGCCGCCUGGGGAGUACGGUCGCAAGGCUG